AUUGAACGCUGGCGGCAUGCUUUACACAUGCAAGUCGAACGGUAACAGGCCGCAAGGUGCUGACGAGUGGCGAACGGGUGAGUAAUGCAUCGGAACGUGCCCAGUCGUGGGGGAUAACGCAGCGAAAGCUGCGCUAAUACCGCAUACGAUCUAUGGAUGAAAGCGGGGGACCGAAAGGCCUCGCGCGAUUGGAGCGGCCGAUGUCAGAUGAGGUAGUUGGUGGGGUAAAGGCUCACCAAGCCAACGAUCUGUAGCUGGUCUGAGAGGACGACCGGCCACACUGGGAUUGAGACACGGCCCAGACUCCUACGGGAGGCAGCAGUGGGGAAUUUUGGACAAUGGGCGCAAGCCUGAUCCAGCAAUGCCGCGUGCAGGAAGAAGGCCUUCGGGUUGUAAACUGCUUUUGUACGGAGCGAAAAGGCUCUCUCUAAUACAGGGGGCUCAUGACGGUACCGUAAGAAUAAGCACCGGCUAACUACGUGCCAGCAGCCGCGGUAACAC
rnacentral:rRNA from 1 species